AAUAGAUACCCUGGUAGUCCACGCCGUAAGCGAUGAAUGCUAGGUGUUAGGGGUUUCGAUACCCUUGGUGCCGAAGUUAACACAUUAAGCAUUCCGCCUGGGGAGUACGGUCGCAAGACUGAAACUCAAAGGAAUUGACGGGGACCCGCACAAGCAGUGGAGUAUGUGGUUUAAUUCGAAGCAACGCGAAGAACCUUACCAGGUCUUGACAUCCCUCUGACCGGUCUAGAGAUAGACCUUUCCUUCGGGACAGAGGAGACAGGUGGUGCAUGGUUGUCGUCAGCUCGUGUCGUGAGAUGCUGGGUUAAGUCCCGCAACGAGCGCAACCCUUGAUUUUAGUUGCCAGCACUUCGGGUGGGCACUCUAGAAUGACUGCCGGUGACAAACCGGAGGAAGGCGGGGAUGACGUCAAAUCAUCAUGCCCCUUAUGACCUGGGCUACACACGUACUACAAUGGCCAGUACAACGGGAAGCAAAGUCGCGAGAUGGAGCCAAUCCUAUCAAAGCUGGUCUCAGUUCGGAUUGCAGG
rnacentral:rRNA from 1 species